rnacentral:rRNA from 1 species
GACGUAGGGCGCGAGCGUUGUCCGGAUUUAUUGGGCGUAAAGAGCUCGUAGGCGGUCUGUCGCGUCGGCUGUGAAAUCCCGAGGCUCAACCUCGGGUCUGCAGUCGAUACGGGCAGACUAGAGUGCGGUAGGGAGACUGGAAUUCCUGGUGUAGCGGUGAAAUGCGCAGAUAUCAGGAGGAACACCGAUGGCGAAGGCAGGUCUCUGGGCAUUAACUGACGCUGAGGAGCGAAAGCAUGGGGAGCGAACAGG